rnacentral:lncRNA from 1 species
GCGAAAGUUGCGCGAACGCAUACUCCGAUUUUGUUUUUAGAGAUCGCAAUCAUGUCACGCGAACGUGUCCACAAUCACAAUGAUAAUAUCAAAUAUUAAAUAAUAGAUGGAGUAAAAGAAAAUGCAUUAAAAUAUAAGAAAAGCCGAUUAAGACUUAUGCAAUUCUACGAUGCACUACCUUGACAAAAACUUAUAAAAUCCACUUAAACCAAGUCAAAUACUCCCGAGACUAUCCAAAAAAAAAUUCUGAUGCACAGAAUGAUAAAUUCUCUUCAACAUUGUAAAUGAGCACAUGUGCUCGUGAAAUGGAUAAUGUUAAAUGCCUAUGACACAACUAAUUCGAUCCACUCAACAUAUAACAAUAUUAAUUUUCCAAUGAAGUGGUAAUUUAAUAAUCCAAGAGAAAGAAGCUUAGCACAGACGUGUAUUGCGAAUCACACUUCAACAAAAUUCACACCCCUGCUCCGUACAACUCAAGCCAUCGUAUGUGAAUCACAAUUCCAGAUGCAUACCCUUUACAUAAAAUUAAAGUGAUAGGUGAGAACAACUACUUCAUGAAGGGAUUAAUUAAGCCUCUUUAGCUUUCCGUGUAAACGAGUCCCAGCUAAUAUCUCUUCCAUUAACAAUGAUUUCAAACAAAAAUUUUAUCAACUAUGAGUGUCUCAUAAAUUGCUUGAAUUAGCUCACAUGUAACUAUUGACUCGACAGAGAUCACCAUGAACCUAACCAAAACAUCAAAAGUGAUUAUUUUAUUUUUUAUGAACUAAUCAAAAAGAAAAAAAAGAAAUCAUAAACUAAGGAGGAGAGUAGCGAGAUGGACCUGGAAAUAUUUCACAAUUAAUUUGCUGAAAGUGAUUACAAGACAAUCCAGCAACAAACUCGAACACAAGACCGAAAUGGCAAUAGGAGAACUCUGUCGUGAACCUCGAACUUGGAUGACAACUCCAACUGAUUUUACACUUCAGAUGCUUGGGACGUUUUGAAGCUCACAAACAACAGGAACGCAACUAGAACCUCGGUAGACGACAGGCUGGUCGAGCUGCGUCGGAGAAAACUCAAAUCGCACCGACGAACCCGAACUCUACAUCGACCUGGAGAAACCGAAGCUCAAAAAGCUGACUGGAAUUGAAACUUGGUGUGUUUUGGGGUCUACAGCUGAGCUGAUUUUAAAGCUGGUUUCAUGAGUUUUUACAUGGUAUUUUGGAGGUUCUCUAAUGGAGGUUUAGAGGGGGUGGUCGGCUGGUUUGUGUCCGUUUUUUGGUUUUUGUAUGUGUGUGUGUUUCUCGCUGGGAUGAGGGUCCUCGUCUAUGUGUUCCGGCGAGUCGCCGCUGGCGGGGAGACGGGGAAUGGAGGGUUGUUUUGGGGUGGGGUUUUGCUGGUCGAAGAAGAAGAGAACGUUUAGGGUGGGGGUCUAUCUUUGCGCAGCUGCUCGUUCUUUUUGUUCCUAG